UAUUAAGACGGUUUUUUAAGUUUUCAAUUAAAUAUUAAAAUUCAAUUUUAAAAAUGUUGAUUAAUACUAUUAAACUUUGAGUAUAAUAGAAGAUAGCUGUAUGGUUAGUGGAGAGUUAAAAUUCUUUGAUAUUAAAAAGACAUUCAAUAGGUGAAGACUACUAUCUAUGUUAUUACUGACGUUGAUAUACAAAAGCAUGGGGAGCAAACA
rnacentral:rRNA from 1 species